CGGGCCGUAGCUCAGUUGGCAGAGCGCAUGGAUGGGGUCCAUGAGGCCCCGGGUUCGAGCCCCGGCGGCCCGA
rnacentral:tRNA from 1 species